UGUUCAAGGUAUAGUAGAGAGCUAGACAGGCGAUAGCUCCUGCUCUCGUGAAGGUCAACCUUUGAGGAGAAGACAGACAGCAAUACUUUAAUGAGAGGAUAUCAAACAGGAUGACUGCACUGAAGACAAGAAAACAGGGCAUUCAGGAGGAAAGAACAAAAUGAAUAAAGAGGGACAACGCUGGAGACUGAAAGAGACUGAGACGGUUUUGUUCAAAGUCAUUCAUUUUCAAGGAAACAGAACCCGAUCCAGAGAGCAAAGAAGAAAGAAAACUUCAUUACCACCCAAAAUAUGACUGUCCAGGGGAGCCUGGGUGGCUCAGUUGGUUAAGCGUCCCAGCUUUGGCUCAGGUCAUGAUCUCAAGGUUCAUAAGUUCAAGGCCUAUGUGCUGACAGCUCAGAGCCUGGUGCCUGCUUUGGAUUCUGCGUCUCUGUC